rnacentral:rRNA from 1 species
AAGUUGGCCGUAGUCAAGCCUUAGAGGAAAUAGCUAGAGUAGUAGAGCUACGGGUUGAAGAUUUAGGUCCCGAAAGGGAUCGAUUUUCUGUCCAACUCCGAACAUUCUAGCAUUACAGAAUCUAAGAGACGGGAAGCCGGGGUAAGCCCGGUUUCCGAGAGGGGAACAACCCAGACUAUAGUUAAGGUCCCUAAUACUGACUAAGUGUGAAAGGGUGAAAAGUGUCUAUUAUCACAGACAGCGAGGAGGUUGGCUUAGAAGCAGCCACCCUUUAAAAAGUGCGUAACAGCUUACUUGUCAAGAUGAUAGGCCUUUAAAAUGGACGGGACUAAGUCAGUUACCGAUACUAUAGAAUGCUUAAAAAGCAAUUAGUAGGUAGGCAUUCUGCAAGGACAGAAGUAUUUUUGCAAAAAAAUAUGGACCUUGUAGAAAUGAGAAUCCUGGUGGUAGUAGGAUCUUAGCACUGUAAGAAUCAGUGCCACUGAAAGGGCAAGGGUUCCUUGGCAAUGCAAAUCAGCCAAGGGUU